rnacentral:rRNA from 1 species
UACGGAGGGUGCGAGCGUUGUCCGGAAUCAUUGGGCGUAAAGGGCGCGUAGGUGGCCCGGUCAGUCUUUGGUGAAAGCGCGGGGCUCAACCCUGCGUCGGCCAGGGAUACUGCCGCGGCUCGAGCACUGUAGAGGCAGGCGGAAUUCCGGGUGUAGCGGUGGAAUGCGUAGAUAUCGGGAGGAACACCGGUGGCGAAGGCGGCGACCUGGGUAGAUACUGACGCUGAGGUGCGAAAGCGUGGGGAGCAAACAGG